GGAGGGUGCGAGCGUUGUUCGGAAUUAUUGGGCGUAAAGCGCGUGUAGGCGGCUUGGCAAGUCGGGUGUGAAAGCCCGGGGCCCAACCCCGGAAUUGCAUUCGAAACUGCCUCGCUAGAGUCCCGGAGAGGAGAGCGGAAUUCCCGGUGUAGAGGUGAAAUUCGUAGAUAUCGGGAGGAACACCAGCGGCGAAGGCGGCUCUCUGGACGGUGACUGACGCUGAGACGCGAAAGCGUGGGGAGCAAACAGGAUUAGAUACCCUGGUAGUCCACGCCGUAAACGUUGGGUGCUAGGUGUCGCGGGUAUUGACCCCCCUGCGGUGCCGUCGCUAACGCAUUUAGCACCCCGCCUGGGGAGUACGGUCGCAAGGCUA
rnacentral:rRNA from 1 species